GGACGAAUCUCUGGAGAGACUCCCUCUCGCCUAUCAUAUAGUGCAGAGGAAACAGAGCACCGAAGGAGCAAAUCCGCUGUAUUAGCGGAUAAUCUCUCAGGUAAAAGGACAGAGACAAGCGA
rnacentral:ncRNA from 2 species